rnacentral:tRNA from 1 species
GCCUCCAUAGCUCAGUGGCAGAGCGGCUGCCUUGUAAGCAGUAGGUCGGGGGUUCAAAUCCCUCUGGAGGCU